rnacentral:rRNA from 1 species
AGAGUUUGAUCCUGGCUCAGGACGAACGCUGGCGGCGUGCUUAACACAUGCAAGUCGAACGAUGAACCAGGAGCUUGCUCUUGGGAAUUAGUGGCGAACGGGUGAGUAACACGUGAGUAACCUGCCCUUGACUCUGGGAUAACCUCCGGAAACGGAAGCUAAUACCGGAUACGAACUGCGGAGGCAUCUCCAGCAGUUGG